rnacentral:rRNA from 1 species
UGGGGAAUAUUGCACAAUGGGCGCAAGCCUGAUGCAGCCAUGCCGCGUGUAUGAAGAAGGCCUUCGGGUUGUAAAGUACUUUCAGCGGGGAGGAAGGGAGUAAAGUUAAUACCUUUGCUCAUUGACGUUACCCGCAGAAGAAGCACCGGCUAACUCCGUGCCAGCAGCCGCGGUAAUACGGAGGGUGCAAGCGUUAAUCGGAAUUACUGGGCGUAAAGCGCACGCAGGCGGUUUGUUAAGUCAGAUGUGAAAUCCCCGGGCUCAACCUGGGAACUGCAUCUGAUACUGGCAAGCUUGAGUCUCGUAGAGGGGGGUAGAAUUCCAGGUGUAGCGGUGAAAUGCGUAGAGAUCUGGAGGAAUACCGGUGGCGAAGGCGGCCCCCUGGACGAAGACUGAUGCUCAGGUGCGAAAGCGUGGGGAGCAAACAGG